AUGCGUCAAGUACAAGAGCUUCUCGACAAAGGAGGCAUUAAUAAUAUUACUAUUCGUUAUCGUCAUCCUAUUCCUAGGCUAGAUGAUAUGCUUGAUGAAUUGAGUGGCUCUACAAUAUUCUCCAAAGUUGAUUUGCGUAGUGGGUACCAUCAAAUUCGUAUGAAAUUGGGAGAUGAAUGGAAAACAGCAUUUAAAACUAAGUUUGGAUUAUAUGAGUGGUUAGUCAUGCCUUUUGGGUUAACUAAUGCACCUAGUACUUUCAUGAGAUUAAUGAACGAAGUUUUACGUGCUUUCAUUGGACGAUUUGUGGUAGUUUACUUUGAUGACAUAUUGAUUUAUAGCAGAUCUUUGGAAGAACAUUUGGAACAUUUACGUGCUAUUUUUAUUGCUCUACGUGAUGCACGUUUGUUUGGUAACCUUGGGAAGUGCACCUUUUGCACCGACCGAGUAUCUUUUCUUGGCUAUGUUGUUACUCCACAGGGAAUUGAAGUUGAUAAAGCCAAGAUUGAAGCUAUUGAGAGUUGGCCGCAGCCCAAAACAGUCACACAAGUGAGGAGUUUUCUUGGCCUCGCUGGAUUCUAUAGGCGUUUUGUGAGAGAUUUCAGCACCAUUGCUGCACCUCUCAAUGAGCUUACAAAGAAAGAUGUGCCUUUUCUUUGGGGUACUGCACAGGAAGAAGCCUUCACGGUAUUGAAAGAUAAGUUGACACAUGCUCCUUUACUCCAACUUCCUGAUUUUAAUAAGAUUUUUGAGCUUGAAUGUGAUGCUAGUGGAAUUGGAUUAGGAGGUGUGUUAUUACAAGAUGGAAAACCUGUUGCAUACUUUUCUAAAAAAUUGAGUGGGCCUAGUCUGAAUUAUUCUACUUAUGAUAAAGAAUUAUAUGCUCUUGUUCGGACUUUAGAAACAUGGCAACAUUAUUUAUGGCCCAAAGAAUUUGUUAUACAUUCUGAUCAUGAAUCUUUGAAACAUAUUAAAAGUCAAGCUAAACUGAAUCGUAGACAUGCUAAAUGGGUUGAAUUCAUUGAGACUUUCCCUUAUGUCAUUAAACACAAGAAGGGAAAAGAAAAUGUUAUUGCUGAUGCAUUGUCUCGUCGCUAUACUAUGCUUUCACAACUUGACUUCAAAAUAUUUGGUUUGGAGACCAUCAAAGAUCAAUAUGUGCAUGAUGCUGAUUUUAAAGAUGUAAUGCAGAAUUGUAAAGAAGGAAGAAUGUGGAACAAGUUUGUUGUUAACGAUGGAUUUGUGUUUCGUGCUAACAAGCUAUGCAUUCCAGCUAGCUCCGUUCGUCUUUUGUUGUUGCAGGAGGCGCAUGGAGGAGGAUUAAUGGGACACUUUGGCGUGAAGAAGACGGAGGACGUACUUGCUACACAUUUCUUUUGGCCAAAGAUGAGACGGGAUGUUGAGCGGCUGUUUUGA
rnacentral:rRNA from 1 species